rfam:Rattus norvegicus chromosome 20, whole genome shotgun sequence.
GGGGAUUUAGCUCAGUGGUAGAGUGCUUGCCUACCAAGCACAAGGCCCUGGGUUCGGUCCCCAGCUCUG